ACGUUUUCUUCUGCUCAUUAUUUCUCCUGUUUUACAGGAGGGCUGCCUUCUUGCUCCAGCUCCUCUGCUAUUGGUCAACAAACAAGAAGGAGCAGGAUCCAUGUGCAGAUCGAUUGUGCAUGCCUGGGUCUUUGACUUCUGUUUUAACAACCAACGUAUUGUAAUGGAGGGAGCGGAAAGACGGUCUGUGUCGGACUUGUUAAGGGAAGCUGCAAAUAGAUUGGAUGAGUUGAAACGCGCAUCUGCCGGUUCAACUCCACAAGCACAAGGCCCCACCAUAACGCCAAGGAUCAACACAAUGUCAACAACACCUGGAAUGUCAAAUGUUGCAGGACGACAUCCUGUUGAUGUUGAGGUGUCAAGACUGUUUACAAGCAGAUCAAGUAGAAGGCAUCAAAGACGCAGCAAUGCAACUGUCAGCCUCGCCACAUAUACACACAUUUUUUGUUGCCUUGGGCGAAAAGAUUCAACAGUUGUUCCGAGGCGACCAGAGAAGGAACGUCUCCAAAGGGCAGGACUAGGUGAGCGGCGCAUAUGUUUCCGAGGUAUGUUAUCUACGUUAUUGUUGCUUGAACUAUUUUGCUGCUCUAAGACAGUAGAAAAAAUAUUGUAUUUCCAUAAUGUAAUGUUUAUAGUGUAACAACGUCCUGGUUCUGUCUCUCCAAAAAGCAAGACUGUAUGGUAACACAUAGAAUAAUUUUUAGGAAAAUUUUGGUGAAAACCUUCUGAAGCUCUUUCUGAAUUAUUUUGAAAAUUUACUGCUUGUUGUCUGUUUGUUUUAGAGCAGCACAGUGUAGCUGUGCACUUCCACUGAAAUGUGUUUUCUCUUUCUUAAGCCACGUAUUUUAAAAUUAAAACAGAGAUAACAUUUGUUCUUCUUGUUUUCAGUGGAAUUCAAAGACUCCAGUGAUAACAGAGUUUGGUGGUAAAGUGGGAUUUCUUAAUAUUGUGUGUUUAUUUUUCAGGUGACUGUUGGAGUUAUGGUAUAAAUUCCAUUCUGUUCAUUAUAAAUUAUCAUAUCUUCUGUUUGUAUAUUUUCUAUAAGUUGUUUUAUGUG